rnacentral:rRNA from 1 species
ACUCCUACGGGAGGCAGCAGUGAGGAAUAUUGGUCAAUGGGCGCAAGCCUGAACCAGCCAUCCCGCGUGCAGGAAGACGGCCCUAUGGGUUGUAAACUGCUUUUCCAGGGAGAGAAACCUGCGCACGUGUUGCGCAAUUGACGGUACCCUGGGAAUAAGCAUCGGCUAACUCCGUGCCGGCAGCCGCGGUAAUACGGAGGAUGCAAGCGUUAUCCGGAUUCAUUGGGUUUAAAGGGUGCGUAGGCGGACUAUUAAGUCAGUGGUGAAAGCCUGCAGCUUAACUGCAGAACUGCCAUUGAUACUGAUAGUCUUGAGUUUGGUUAAGGUAGGCGGAAUGUGUAAUGUAGCGGUGAAAUGCUUAGAUAUUACACAGAACACCAAUUGCGUAGGCAGCUUACUGAGCCGACACUGACGCUGAGGCACGAAAGCGUGGGGAUCGAACAGGAUUAGAUACCCUGGUAAUC